GGGUUGGAGGGAGGUCUCCUUAUACUGCCCAGGCUGGUCUCGAACUUCUGGGUUCAAGCAAUCCUCCUGCCUUGGCCUCCCAAAGUGCUGGGAUUAUGGGUGUGGGCCACUGUGCCUCGCCUGCUUUCUUUUUCAACCAGUGACUCAGGAAGUCCAGGGCACAGGUGAUCUUUAUCUCCCUACAUCGAUGCAGCAACAGGGUUCAGCUGAAUGAGAUCCUAUGCAUAAGGAUAUGGUUUAGAUUUGUGUCUCCACCCAAAUCUCAUGUUGAGUUGGAGGAGGGGCCUGGUGGGAGGCGAUUGGAUCAUGAGAACGGAUUUCCCCCUUGCUGUUCUCGUGAUAGUGAGUGAAUUCUCACGAGAUCUGACGGUUUAAAAGGGUGUGGCACCUCUCCCUUUCUUCUUUCUACUGCUCCGCCAUUGUGAGGGCGUGCUUGCGUCUCCUUCGCCUUCUGCCAUAAUUUUUCAGAUUUGCAAAGGGAGACGUGACAUCAAGUUUGGAAGAAAGCUGAAUUACUGGGACUAACAGAGUGAAAAGAAUAUGGACUUUCAAGGUAGGUUCUCUCUCUUUUGCCAUGUGAGGACACAGCAAGAAAACCUUCAUCAGAAGCUGGUUCUUUGAUCACGGACUUCCCAGGCUCCAAAACUGUGAGAAAUAAAUGUCUGUUCUUUAAAAAUUACCCAGUCUGUGGUACUGUAUUAUGGAAGCAUGCAAUGGACAAAGACAACACCAUUGAAAACGUCUUCAAAUGACUGCAUUAUUAUUUAGUAUUGAAAUGAAAAUGAUUUUGGAAGAGAAAGACACAGAAACAGAGCAGUGAGAUAUAUAUUUGAUAUACCUGUGACACAAACAUUCCUCAUUUGAGGAAUAACUGCCAACAUCUAAGCUUGGAAGACUUUUGACAGGAAUUUGGAAGAAAAUCCUAGUCAAUAAUGGAACACCCCCAACUCCUUCUCUUGCCUCUCUCUCACUCACUCGCCCCAGGGAAGCACAUGACUGUGGCAGGAGGCCAUUCAGGUAGCCCUGCAGAGAGGCUCAAGUGGUAAGAGUAUUAGUCUGUUUCACACUCCUGAUAAAGGCAUACCCACGACUGGGCAAUUUACAAAAGAAAGAGGUUUAAUAGACUUACAGUUCUACGUGGCUAGGGAGGACUCACAAUCAUGGUGGAAGGUGAAAGGCAUGUCUCACAUGGCGGCAGACAAACGAGAAGAAGGUGCGGGCAGGGAACCUCCCCUUUAUAAAACCAUCAGAUCUCAUAAGACUUAUUCACUAUCACAAGAACAGCAGAGAAAGACCUGCCCCCAUGAUUCAAUUACCUCCCACCAGGUCCCUCCCACAACACAUGGGAAUUCAAGAUAAGAUUUGGGUGGGAAUACAGCCAAACCAUAUCUCUACAGAAAGAAACAGAUCUCCCGCCACAGCCAGUGAGGAAAUGAGGUCUCUUGACAACACCUGUGAGAGAGCCAUCUGAGAAGAUCCUCCAACCCUGGGGAAACCUUCAGAUGACUGCAGACCUGGCUGACAGUCUGACUGCUGCCUCACGAGAGACCCUCAGCCAGGACUACCCAGCUAAGCCACUUCUGGACUACUAGCCUCAGAAACUGUGUGAGAUAAUAAACAGUUGUUGUUUUUCACUUCUGACUUGGGGGUAAUUUAUUAAUGCAGCAAUAGAUAACUGACAUAAAAGAAACCAAAGCUAGAAAAGCUUACAUUUGCAAAAGUUGUAAUUAAUAAAACUGGGUUAGCUGGCUUUUAGGAAGUAAAGAAAAAGAUAAUUAAAACUUAUAAAACUUAAUUUCCUGCACCU
rnacentral:lncRNA from 1 species